rnacentral:lncRNA from 1 species
UUGAUUAGGGAUAUUUGCUUACUUUGAUUACCGUUAAAUGAACUAUGUAAAUUAAAUUGGUUGGUAAGGUGUUAGUACAAAACUAUAUGUCAUGUCUUGGGAUUUUUGCUCUUAUACCAUCUUUCUUUUGAGGUUGGGACGUUCAUCGGGUUUAGUUGUACGUGAUUGUUGUUUUGAUUAAGUUAUUUAAAGUAAUUUUCUUUUCAUGGUUAUAUACUUGCAGGUUUCCUUCUUCUUUAUUUGGCCAAAUAUUGGAAAUUAUAAAUAUAUCCUACCACUAAAAAUAUUUCUAUGUAUAUAUAAUUUUUAAAAAAAUAUUAUUCAAUGUUUAUUCCACCUUGAUUAGGACAAUAAGUUGAAAAUAUCUUAAACCACAAAU